AACAAAAGGACACUUAAGUUAUUCACCCUCGACCAAAACAUUUCAGAAUUCGCCCUCCUUUUGAAAAUGGAACAUCCCUCUCUCUCCCUCCUUCUGAAAAUCGAAACCCUAAACUCUCUGAAUCUCCCUCCUUCUGAAAAUCGAAACCCUCAACUCUCUGAAUCUCCCUCCCAUUUGUUCUCUGUGGUCGUCACCGAGCUCGCCGACACAGGUCACUGUUUGCGACCCAUCUUUAGCCCCUUGGUUGUCGUCGUCUCCGAGCUCUGCCUCCAAUCUCAUAUCUCUAUUACAUAUCUGAAGCACCAUCUCCCCUCGUGCCAUCCACGUAAUGGAACUCGCCGAGAUCGCCAUCUCCCUUGCGCUAUCUAGGUCACCGAGCUCGCCCCAUCCAUCUCAUCGAGCUUGCCAAGCUCGCCAUCUCUCUAGUGGAUGAGAAGCGUGAGAAGAUGCUUCAAAUCUUUUACGACUCUCAAGAUUUCUUCCUUCUAAAGGAGCUUGAGAAGUCAGGCCCAAAGAAAGGUGUUAUUUCUCAAUCUGUAAAAGAUGUGAUCCAAAGUUUAGUGGAUGAUGACCUUGUUUUCAAAGACAAGAUAGGAACCUCUGUAAGUAGAUGUUUCCAUAUACAGCUUUGCAUCGUGGAUGAUGAUCAGUUUAGUUCAGUUAUUAGAGAGCAGAAGCACUUAAUAAUCACUUGGCUGCUGUCCAGCGAGACCAUGAAGUCAGAUCUCAAAUAGAAGAAAGAAAAAUAAGAAUUGAUGGAGCUUAUGAAGAUGCUAAAAGAAAGGAAAAUUCUCUGCAAGAGGAAAAACUUCGACAAGACAAGAACGAGCUAAAGGAAGCUGAGGUCUUUUUGAUUGGCCUUUUUAUAUAAUUACUGUUUUGUUGGUAACAUACUCAAGGCAGCAGAAAGUGCUCUGAAUCUAGAGCAGGGGAGACUACAAAAGCUUAAACAGUCUGAUGAUGAAAACCAGGCACUGAAAUUACGCUCCAUUGAGGUCUGCUGGCACCCAAACAUUAAGCCUUGAAGGCUUUAUUCUAUUGGUUUUGUGAAACAAUGCUUCUGUUUUUUCUAUUUGUCUACAACUUCAUGAUAUCUAAUAGAAUUGAUUAAUUUAAUAUAUGUCGUUUGAAUAUCUGAUUCUGGAACUCAAUAUUAGAAUGCAUGCUUCCAUUGAUUCUCUCCUUUGUUCUGUAAUGUAUCGUUUGCCUGUUGA